ensembl:lncRNA
CAAGUGGCGCAGUUGUCUAAGGCACAGCAUCUUAGUGCUAGAGGCGUCACUACAGACACCCAGGCUCAAAUCCAGACUGCGUUUCUAUCAAAGUGGCCCACCUUCCCUGUGGCCGUCAUGGUUGCUGUAUGGACAGUGGAGGGGACAUGGAUGCCUCGUUUGUCAUGCCACUUUACUAACAGCUGUUGACAUUUUUUAUUUUGUAUAACGUGUCAUUUGGAAUGGCAGUAGCAUUGUUGAUGAAAUGCAGUCAUCGCAGCAGAACUAGGAAGCGCUCCAAGGCAUAGUGAUUGGUCUCGGUUAUGUCUCCCUCCAGCUCCUCUGUCAGAAAGAACUUGAAGCACUCUGCCUCAGAUGGAAAUGGCAAGGGGCGUUGCACUCCAGACUGGGAGUCAAAGCAAACAGCAGGGCCAGGAGGGGUGAAAUUGCUGGCAGCCUUCCAGCUACCACAGAACUCCUGUACUUCAUCCAUUGUUGGCCUGCCUCCAUCACCACCAGCAUCUUCAAAGGGACCUGGGACUUCGUCAGUGGACAAGGGUCCUCAGAUUCAGGGUUCUCAAUGGCUACAAGGUUGGGGGGCAGCUCCUCACUGUCAGAAUCUGAUUCCUGACUUUCAGACUCAUUGUCAGAAUUUUUUUAAAUCUCAAGAAUUUCCACAUUUGUGAGUUGUCUCCUUUUGAAAGACAUUGCUAAUGCUACAGCUUAGCUCACUAGCUACAUACAUAAACAACAACACUGAAUGGCUCAGAGUGGGAGUGAGAGGUUAUGUGAUUGACAGCCGGCACGGGCCACUUGUAGAAAUAAAU